GGCAUCACGCAAUAAACAAAUCAGAAGCAACGAAAGGUGUGUGUGUGAAUACAACAUUGGCCGAGACAUGUGUGCAAUGGCUGGCUACGGACCCUUGGUGGCAGUGUUGAGCCUGUUCUGUCUGCUGUACUGCACAGAGGCCAAUACACCAUUGUGUGAUCAAUAUUCAACAAACGGCACAAUGGAAUUGGGAGACUUCGUCUCCUUGCUCCAGGAGAAGUUCCCGCAGGUGACGCAG